UACAGAGGGUGCAAACGUUGCUCGGAAUCAUUGGGCGUAAAGCGCACGUAGGCGGCCCAGCAAGUGGGGAGUGAAAGCCCUCGGCUUAACCGAGGAAGUGCUUUCCAAACCACUGGGCUUGAAUACUGGAGAGGGUCGCGGAAUUCCCGGUGUAGAGGUGAAAUUCGUAGAUAUCGGGAGGAACACCAGUGGCGAAGGCGGCGACCUGGACAGAUAUUGACGCUGAGGAGCGAAAGCCAGGGGAGCAAACGGG
rnacentral:rRNA from 1 species